rnacentral:lncRNA from 1 species
AACGUGGCCCCGUCCCAGAGCGCCACCCGAGACAUCAGGAGCACAUUGCGGGCUUGGAAAGACCCUCCGGGACCUCACGGCCCAGGUCUUCCACCCUUGGCCACCUCCCCAGUGAUGCCUGAAGCUCAAGGGACUGUGUCUAUCCUCAGGCCCUGCCCGUGGCUCCGGAUUGGCGGUCCCCGUCAGAGGCCUGGGCUGAGUCCUCAGGCCGGGAGGGAGUGCCACAUGGCUGCACCCCCAGCCCGGGAGCACCCUCGCUGCUGGACCUCUGGCUGGACUUUUGGGUUCUCACUAAGACCUGGUGAAGAGACACGGAGACCACUGCUGGGCGGGGGCAGGAAGGCAUCCCUGUGGCACCCUGGGGCCGUCCGUCUGUCGGAUCUGGGGGUGCUGCCUGCCAGGCUCUACUCUGCCUCCAGCGAGUGUUUGUUGGGGGCAGUGGGGCCUGUGCCUCUUGUCCAGAGGAGGCCGGAGAAGGGGACACAAGAAGGGAGUGGACAGACGGUCACCAGACAGAUGAGCAGGACGGGGCUCGGAGCUUGUUUGGGAAGUGGCUGGGGCAGGGCUCCAGGAGGGGCCGAGUGGGCCCCACCCCCCACCCUUGUCGGCAGGGCCCCAAAAAUUCCAGGCUGUGGGGUGGGUGCUGUGAAGGUGGAGUGGGGAGCAGCCUCCCAUCCCUGGAGCAGGUCCCUUGGCGUCCCCACUGUGGGGUGGGUGCUGUGGAAGGUGGAGGGGGGAGCAGCCUCCCAUCCCUGGAGCAGGUUCCCUAGCAUUCCCAUGGCAGCUGCUUCAUGGCACAGUGGUCCCUGGAGUUCAGGCCAGGCCCUCGAGCCGCCUGUCUGGGGACCACUCCAACCUCGGCUAAAUGAGGAGCAGCCCUCCCUGGGUCUGGGGGCAAAGGAAGGUUUUGAAUCCGGGAGCCCAGGCUCAGUAGGCCCUUGUCACCUCCCCCAGAGGUCGUGCCUCAGGCUAGGCCACCUGGGCUGCAAGAUGGGAGGGCUUCGGUGCCCCAGGCAGGCCCCAGUCCCCCGGGGCCACUGCAAGACCCUUAGAUGGGACGACAAGGUCUCUAGAAGCCCCGGCCGCUGGGAGCCUGGGCGGAAGAAGGUUCCAGAAAAGGCCCACCUGUCUAUCUCUGGGCCCAUGCACGGGGCGGGCACUGUGCUGCUUUUCCAGUGGCUCCUCCUCCUCCCGGCCCCAUAGCCGCUCCCGCCCGCAGCGGCCUUUGUCUUCCAAGCGCUCUGCAAAAUGGCCGCCCGGCCUGCCGCCAUUUUGUAGCUGAGGUGGCCGCGGCCUUGGAGAGGCCUGGGAGGGAGGGCGGCCAUGGCCCGCCUGCCUGCCCUUGGCGGCCUGGACAGAGCCCAGCACCGGCCCCCGCCCAGUCUGGCCUUGGCCGUGUCUGACCCAGGCUUGGCACCAGCCAGCCCUUGGCAAGGCAGGCUGGGAGUCCUGGCCCCUCACCCAGCCCUGCCGGCCCCUUGCCACCCUGAGGCGGUCCUGCCGAGCAGACAGAGAAGCCUUGAGCCAGAGCCGGGCCGGUGCAGCCUCGCUGGCAGGGGAGCCCUGGGCCGAGGGCAGUGCAGGCAGUUGUGGGGCCCCAUGGGCUCCCCGCACCUCUUCAGGGGCGAUGCCUUCAGGCCUUGACCACUUCACCUAUCGCGCUUCUGGCCUGGCCUGGCCGGGAGUGGGUGUCUCAGUGGCCAGCCCAGCUUCUGACUUAGAGAUGGGCACCGCCAACCUCAGGAAGAGGGCAGGGCCGCACUCUGGCCAGGAUUCUCCUGUGGUGGGGCCAGCCAAGGUCUGUGACACACAGGAGUGGAGGACCUGUUCCCUCCUGGGUACCUGCACAGCCCCCACUUUCCUGCAGGCCCCAUCCCUACAACCUCAGCCAUUCCAGACAGCAUCUCCCUCCUCACUGGAGCCCCUUGGCCUCUCCCGAGCCUCUGAGCUUGCUUCCUGCCCCAUGCACCUGCCCUUCCAGCACCCAGAGGAUCCCAAGUGGCACAUUUCCGAAGGGACGGUCUCCAGGAAACCCCUGGGGGCCGGGGGGCUGCAGAUCAGCAUCAGGGAGACACUGGCUGUGGGCUGUGGAGGACAAUUGUGCCCCUGGCCUGGCCAGGCCGGGAGGGGGCAGGUGGGCCCCGUGGGAGCCCUGUGAGGUUGGCCACACAUGGGUUCCUGCAAUCUCUGCAACAAGGUCCCCUGGAGGGCAGUGCGCCUCCUAGAAGUUGGGAGAAAUCUGCAGGCGAAGCAGGGAAUGGUGUUAAGUGUGUGCAUUUUCUAGGGGUCAACGCAGGUCCUAUGGGUGGCGUGGGGUGGUGCCGGGUGGACCCCACGGUGGCCUGUGUUCUCUACAUGGCCGUGGGUCGGUUCCUUGCUGGAGGAGACCCUUCCCCAGACACCUGCCAGGCACCCAGCCAAGCCCUUGAGGCCUGGGAAGGUCUCUGGACACCACCCUACACCCCGCCCAGACUCCUCUCCCUGUGGUUCCUGGACAGAACAUUCCGUCACCACAAAGCGAAGUUUGCCCAGGCCCUGCCCUCGCCCCGAGGAAACCCAGCCGGGCAUGGGAAGGAAGAAUUCUGCCCGCCUGCCCGCUCAGACCAGAGUUGCCCCACAUGCCAGGCCAGGCCUGCAGCUUCCUGGGGCACACGGAGCCCCAGGCUUCCCGGCAGGAAAAGCCCCCCCCGCCGCAGAAGGGCUGGUCCCUGGUGGGGAGUUGCUGCUGGGUGGGGUGACCGCAGGGCGGGGUUCAGGCUGGGGUAUUUUUAAUGAUGUGGUUGCAUCUGGUCACCGCCCCCCGCCACCCCCGAUUCUUUCCUACUCUCCCCACCUUGUGACCCAGACUGUGACUUGAAUUAAGAAUGUUUUCAGAUAAGUACACGCCUUUGAGGUUAAAAGUAUGCCUAAUGAUUAAACACCAGACAGAGGUCCCCACAGGAGAAGAGCGGGCUCCGCAUUCCUGCUUUUCCCCUUUGGACUCCAAGUGCGCCUGUUUGCGUAACCCUGGAGCAUUAACGAGCAGCUCCGCCGGAUUCUCCCCACAUCUCGGGGGCUGGCGUC